rnacentral:rRNA from 1 species
UGGGGAAUAUUGGACAAUGGGCGAAAGCCUGAUCCAGCCAUGCCGCAUGAGUGAAGAAGGCCUUUGGGUUGUAAAGCUCUUUUAGUGAGGAAGAUAAUGACGGUACUCACAGAAGAAGUCCUGGCUAACUCCGUGCCAGCAGCCGCGGUAAUACGGAGAGGGCUAGCGUUAUUCGGAAUUAUUGGGCGUAAAGGGCGCGUAGGCUGGUUAAUAAGUUAAAAGUGAAAUCCCGAGGCUUAACCUUGGAAUUGCUUUUAAAACUAUUAAUCUAGAGAUUGAAAGAGGAUAGAGGAAUUCCUGAUGUAGAGGUAAAAUUCGUAAAUAUUAGGAGGAACACCGGUGGCGAAGGCGUCUAUCUGGUGCAAAUCUGACGCUGAAGCGCGAAGGCGUGGGGAGCAAACA